CUUAACUCUUUGUUUUCACAUUGCAUUAGAAGAAAUGACAAAGGGAUCCUUUGCAGUUUGCAGCUUACUACAGUGACAACACAAAUCUGAUUGGUGAUAACAAUCAAGAGAUUUUAUAAAUAUUCUGUGGAUGCCCUUGGGUAUUAAGACAGCCUCCAGUGAAGCAAUGGAUUCCGGCAUCUGUCAAGGGAACAGAACACAGGCAAAAAAGACUGUGAUUGGGAAGAAUUCAGUUCAGCUUUCCUGUGUUUCUAAAGAGAAAAAGUAGAGAAUAGAUGCUCACUCUUUUUCACCAUUUAGCUACAGCCAAAGUCGUACUGGCUGUUAGAAAUAUUUCCAAGGCAAAAAACAGGAUUAUUUUAAUGUCCGCAACACUGCUUUUGACUCCCAAUUAUUUAAUGCACAACAGGCAACGUUUUGACCCUGCUGGGUCUUCUUCAGGCCAAAAGAAGAUCCAGCAGGGUCGAAACAUUGCCUGUGUUGCGGACAUUAUAUUUUUUCAAUUGAGUAUAGUUUUCUUUUGUCCUGCACCUGCCAGAAGGUGGGAUGUGCACACAAUAACUGUUUGCUAAAAACAGGAUUACUCAGAGCCACUAGUAUUACCAUUUGGAUGGCAAAGGAAACAUACCAGCGUCUGACCCUUGCUUACCUAAAGGAAUGCAGCACUGCCUUCACAUGGUCCUGCUGUACUCAAUGCCACUCUUGGAGGAGAUGCCAGACCAUGGCAGGAAGCUGCGAAGAAGACUCUGUGCUUGGCGGUAUAUUCUCUGAGGGAUGGAGCAUGGACUCAAGCUAGCCAGAGCAGAGCCUAUAUGCUGAAUAUAGUCAGUGGAGAGACACAGGUCAAGGAUAGUCGUGCAAGAUGUUUUUUUUUUCUGUUCUACUACAAAAUAAGAGCAACAUAAUAAUCAUCUUCAUUAUCUGUCGCGUGUAUGCAAUUAUGGCCGUGUUAAAUAGAACAAAUUAAAAUUAAAUUCUUGAAUUCAUUUACUCUAUGUAUUUCUUGUAUUUGUUUAUUCCAUUUUGUUUUAAUUAAAAACAUAAAGUUAGUAUGCAAUUAUAGUAAUUAAACUAACUUCAUUAACCAAAA